rnacentral:misc_RNA from 1 species
GAUGAAGAACGCAGCGAAAUGCGAUACGUAAUGUGAAUUGCAGAAUUCAGUGAAUCAUCGAAUCUUUGAACGCAUAUUGCGCUCUCUGGUAUUCCGGAGAGCAUGCUUGUUUGAGUAUCAGUAAACACCUCAACUUCCAUAUCUUUUUUGAAAUGGGAGUUGGACUUGAGUGAUCCCAACGCUUUUCCUCACCGAAAAGUGGCGGGUUACUUGAAAUGCAGGUGCAGCUGGACUUUUCUCUGAGCUAUAAGCAUAUCUAUUUAGUCUGCCUAAAAAACAGAUUAUUACCUUUGCUGCAGCUAACAUAAAGAAGAUUAGUUCUUGUGCUGACUGAUGCAGGAUUCACAAAGACGGCUUCGGCCGACUUUGUAAACUCGAUCUCAAAUCAAGUAAGACUACCCGCUGAACUUAAGCAUAUCAAUAAGCGGAGGA